rnacentral:sRNA from 1 species
AUGCCAGCCUCAGUAUCCCUCAGGUCCUACUCCCCAAGAGGCCAUCCCCAGGGAGCUCAUGCUGAUGGGGCCGUGAGCACGCCCUUAGCUGGCUUUUACAAGCGAAACGCCCGGAUCCAGCUCAUGGCUCCGGGCGUUUCAGU